ACACAGGCUAUAUAUCGCCAUUUUGAAUAGUGUCAAAGUACGUUUCUAAGAAAAUAGCUGUUUUGGAACGGGACCGUAUUUUACACCGGGCUUACGUCUUAAGAACUUACUGCGAGCUUAAUAGCCUACGACUGACUCGACGUUGUAUUUAAAAGGCAAGAUAUUCACGGUAAGAAAACAAUAUGGCUAAACUUCCGCAAGAAAGUUAUGACAGAAUACGAAAGUGUAAUGAGUUUAUUCUCGAAAAUAUGGUAAAUCCCGAUAAGGUCGUUGAGUACCUGUUCAGUGAAGAUGUUCUUUCUUACGACCAUACGUCUGAGAUUGAGGCCAAAGUAAAGGGACGACAGCGAGUAAAGAAACUUCUAGAUAUAAUAAUGAAUGAGUGUAACGACUGCUAUGAUCAGUUUCUGGAAGCACUGAGAAAGAGCGGGUUUGCGCAGGUCGCUGAUAAAAUAGAUUCUGGUAAUGACGACAGCCGACCUAUAAAUGGAUCCAUUCCAAUUAAACCAGAACCGAUCCCAUCAAACUCAAUGCCGAACAGAGACCGGAAUCCAGAUAUAAAACCAAACCCGAACGACAGUCGACCUAUAAAUAGAUCCAUUCCAAUUAAAACAGAACCGAUCCCAUCAAACUCAAUGCCAAACAGAGACCGGAAGCCAGAUAUAAAGACAACCCCGACUCAAGUGCAGAAGGGUCAAAUGAGAAGUGACCAUUACGACAUAUGGGUAGAGUUACACGAAUAUGUGGUGACACACUUUAGUGUCCAGCUUAGAGAACUCACGAAAAAAAUGGUGUCAGAAAAUAUCAUAAGUGAAGAUGACAUGGAAAUAAUUAACAGAGAAGCAAAGGAAACGAGUAAUUUAGAUGGCGCUACAAAACUUGUGGAGAUUCUUGGUGGGCGUGGUGAUCUUGUGUUACCGCGGAUUAAGAAUGCUCUGAAAAAUAUCAACAACAAAGUAGCCGAUGUGAUAGAAGACAGAUUGGAUGAGUUGGAUCGUGACUAACCAUGUUCGGACAUAAAUAUAUAUAUAUAUAUCUAAAAGCUGUAAAUAAUUUCAUGUAAUUUUCGUAGUUCAAAUUACAGUAGAAAAAGCGAUAAUUUCAUAUUUUCUAAGAAAGUCAAAACAUAAUUAUUUCUAUGUCUUUUGCUCAAUAGGAUGUCAACUCACUAUUAUACGAUCAAGGGUAUUAUUCUCCCACUUAAAAAUCCUUUGACCCCGGAAAUAAUAACACAAUUACCUCCCUUGUUUUUCUAUUUCCCCCAUGGAAUAGCUAUCUUCAAACGUUUAAAUUUAAAAUUGAAAAUUAUACUUUUGCUAAUUUCUCAACUGACAAUAGUGAAUUAUAGGAUUAAUAGGAAUAUUCUUUAACAAGGUAGGACUGUUUAUAGAUACCAUCUUUGUUAAGGCUUUAUUUUAAAAAAUUUUAAAAAUAUAACUUAAAAAUAUGAAAUUGCAACUUUAAACUAAAAGUCUGGUAUACAGUGUCACCAGAUGGCACUACGGUACGCAUUAUUUUGACCCAUUUGUAAAGGCGAAAAUUUUAUUGCAGCUCUUGAUAAUCUUCAUUUUUGAAACAGAAGCAGUUGUAGUCACAAAAGGAAUGGUAGUUUGAGGGGGAGGGGGUGUAAGGGAGUCACUCGUUUUUUUUUAUUUGUAACUUUAAAUAAGUACGUUUUAUAUAUGUUAUGUUUUGAUGUACCCUAGGGUCUCUAUGGGCCUCAAUCCGACCCUGCUCACUUAGAACGACCUGCAAAUAAAGAUAUUUGUAUCUUACCAAUAGAGGAUUAAACUUAACAAUAAUAAUAUGUUUCUAGCUUGUAGAACUUUAUAAAUAAAUAGCCGAACUAAACAGUGGUGAAUUCUGGAAUUUAUCACAGAACACAGAUUGUGUGUCCUUCUUCCCGAAAUAGACACAUUUAUUUCUUCAAAUUGGUGGUGGGGGGGGGGGGGGCACUUAGGUAUUGGAUACACGAACUGAAAUGGGGUGUAACGUACUACUUUUCUGUACCGACGAGGUAUGAGGGAUUUUGCCUGGCCAGCGGCGUUACGACUUACUCUUAUUUAUAAAUCGAUAUGUCACGGGUUCCUUCUUUACGUGUAUGCCAAUGUUUACACGGCGCCCAGGAUUCCCAUCCCAUCCGAACGACUAGACAUUGUCCUUGCCAUGCCCUCCGUCGUGCACCUCUGACAAGGGGGGGGGGGGUGGCAACCGGGAGCGGACCCGAAACCUCCCGGUUAACGAGCCAGCAUUUUACUCACUGCGCCACCACGUCUCCCUAUUACAUUACAAAGAUACACAGUGAGGCGUCCGGGUUUUUAGCAAGACUUAUGACAGUAAAGUUCGUGUUAGUCUAUCAAAAUUAUUUUGUAUCUGAAACCAUGCGAUCGCCAGCGCCUUUCUCACUGGGCCACAAGAUCUAAAUAGACAAAAUGGACAGUAAUUCACUCAAGCAAAUUGUAAAGCCUCUUCGAAAUUAUUUUGUAUCUGAAUCGAUGCGUGCACCAGCGCCUUUCUCAUUUUCCCACAAAAUGGAAAGUAAUUCACCCAAGCAUGUUGUAAAGCCUCUUAAAAAUAGGCGUAAUCCGGAAUGAUGUCAAAUGAGUUUUUCCAAGAGGAAAGUCACGUGAUGAGUUAAACACCUGACGUCACGUUCGUCAUCAUAAUAUACUACGGCCAUUUUGCAUCUGAAUUGAUGCGUGCAACUGGCUUCUUUUUACUUCACUAAUUAACAUGACCGUAUUAUUACAGAUCCUAUAAUCUAAAUAGCACAGGAUACCCCCCCCCCCCAUACCCCUCCCAAAGAAAUAAAUAUAUCGUGUUACUGUUAAGAUAAACUUUGCUUUGGUUGUGACAUAUUUUAAUAUUUCUACCACUUGAUUUUUCUCCACGUAUUAUAAUGUUUAUUUGCUUUGCUCAUAGCCAAACAAUAAAGCAAAUAAAAACGGCGACAUAUAUUAUGUGGGCGAAGCAUUCUAAUACAGGUAACAAACAUAUUGAAAGGAGUCUUUGCCUUAAAAAAAAAUGAUUGAAGUCCUGUAGUGUUUAAUAAAGGUGAAGGCGUGUAUUAUUAAAAUAGCCCAAAUAUAGAUAAAAUUAUAUAGCAGUGAGGUUUUGCCAUAAAAGCUUGAUUGUUGGCAAGUUUACUGGUGAAUGUAAAGGGACUAUAAAAAGUGCUGCGCAUUGGAAUUAGUGCAAGAAUAUCACAUAUAACAGGGGGGAUUAAGCGAAGGGAAUGGGAGUCUCUUUCAAUCCUUUCAAAUAGCUCAUUUUUCUUUAAAAGGCAAGUUCACUCUUUAUUGGGCCGCUUAAUGAUAUAGCUGGCGUGUAUCCAGAUCGGGGAAGGGAAGUGCAGGGGUUCCAUACCCGCCUCUGCUCAUUCAAAGCAUAUUUUAUUAUGUCCUACAUUCUUCGACAUAACAUCGAAUAAACAAACGUACAAGGAUUGAACAAAAAUGAAUAAACUCAUAAAAACGCCCUUUCCUUGAUAAGUACAUAAUAUUAUUCAAGAUAACAAAAUGUGUAAUAACUAUCAAUUCUAUCCUGUAUUAUUUAACGGCAUUUAUUCAUUAAAAUCCAGGGGCCUGUUUCACGAAAUUUUAACUAAGAUAAAAUCCAAAUUUUAGUAAUUUGAUUGGAUAAUAUUAGACUGAUUGUAGAGCUUAGCCAAUCAAAAUUGAAGUAUCUACUAAAAUUACCCAGGAUCUUGAAAACUAAUACUUAUAACAGUAUAAUAGUUUGAAAACUAAUACUUAUAACAGAGAGGGGGAGAAAUGGGGUUUAAAGUCCACUCGACACAAACUAGGUCAUUUCGGGACUAACAUAUGGUUUAAUUUUAUUUCAAUAAUUCGCUUGCGCGUAGGGGUCUUUAGCAGUGGGAGGCUUUAUGAUACAGCGCGCACGUGCUAACCAUUCGGCCAUCCACCCCCCCACCCCCCUACUUAUAACAGUAUAAUCGUUUGAAAACUAAUACUUAUAACAGUAUAAUCGUUUAUACUGGACCGUUCUGUUUAGUUACCUUUGUAUGCAGGGCCCUCACAAGCCUAUGUGUCGAUCCAGGGAUAAAGUUCUGUAAUUGCUUUGUUCAAUGCCUGUGCUCAUUUGAUUUGUUAUGGUUAAAUAAAUUUUAAAAUACAAUUUUUAUACUUUUAACACUUUAUCUAAAUAAAUAUUUAUUAAAUCAA